rnacentral:lncRNA from 1 species
UUUCGUACUUCAAAAUUAGUCAAUUAUAAAUGAUCAUGAUAAACAGGUGGUAAUGGGCAAUACCUAAAUCUUUUCUCGUUUGAUAUAAGAAAUAAGGUAACACUUCUGUUCCCAUGAAAAGUAUGAGUAUCUCUUUUUACAGAGAGUUGUCGAUCAUAUCUGAAUCUGAUGUCUAGUGGUUGUCGUUAUUUAUAUGUAGUUCAUUAGUGUUUCUCGUUUUUCGUUUUUGUAUAAAGAUUAGACCGUCGCUUUUCCUGUUUGAACAGUUUUUUAUACGCCUGUCAAAAUUUUGACGGGACGUAUUAUGGUAUACAAAUGUCCGGUGUCUGUCUGUCUGUCUGUCUGUCUGUCCAGCGUAAACAUGUCGCAUCGUAACUUGAGAACGACUUAUCCAAAUUUCAUGAAACUUAAUAUACAUGUAGUUGUUUCUUAUAAUUGUCAAAUGAUCUGUAUACUUUUUGGUGAAAAUAAGAUUUAAAAUUUUUGAGUUACGGCACUUUGUAACUAAAACAGGG